GACGAAGGGGGCUAGCGUUGUUCGGAAUUACUGGGCGUAAAGCGCGUGUAGGCGGUUGCCCAAGUCAGGUGUGAAAGCCUUGAGCUCAACUCAAGAAAUGCACUCGGUACUGGGUGACUAGAGGACCGGAGAGGAUAGUGGAAUUCCCAGUGUAGUGGUGAAAUACGUAGAGAUUGGGAAGAACACCAGUGGCGAAGGCGGCUAUCUGGACGGUUUCUGACGCUAAGACGCGAAAGCGUGGGGAGCAAACAGG
rnacentral:rRNA from 1 species